GUACUCGCUUCGGCAACACAUAUACUAAAACUAGAAUGAUACAGAGAAUAUUAGCAUGGCCCCUGAGCAAGAGUGGCAUGCAAAUUUGUGAAGCAUUCUAUUUUUUA